GACGAACGCUGGCGGCGUGCCUAAUACAUGCAAGUUGAGCGCUGAAGGUUGGUACUUGUACCAACUGGAUGAGCAGCGAACGGGUGAGUAACGCGUGGGGAAUCUGCCUUUGAGCGGGGGACAACAUUUGGAAACGAAUGCUAAUACCGCAUAAAAACUUUAAACACAAGUUUUAAGUUUGAAAGAUGCAAUUGCAUCACUCAAAGAUGAUCCCGCGUUGUAUUAGCUAGUUGGUGAGGUAAAGGCUCACCAAGGCGAUGAUACAUAGCCGACCUGAGAGGGUGAUCGGCCACAUUGGGACGGAGACACGGCCCAAACUCCUGCGGGAGGCAGAAGUAGGGAAUCUUCGGCGAUGGACGAAAGUCUGACCGAGCAACGCCGCGUGAGUGAAGAAGGUUGUCGGAUCGUAAAACUCUGUUGGUAGAGAAGAACGUUGGUGAGAGUGGAAAGCUCAUCAAGUGACGGUAACUACCCAGAAAGGGACGGCUAACUACGUG
rnacentral:rRNA from 1 species